rnacentral:rRNA from 1 species
CACGUAGGAGGCGAGCGUUGUCCGGAAUCAUUGGGCGUAAAGAGCGCGCAGGCGGCUUGGCAAGUCGGGUGUGAAAUCCCGGGGCUCAACCCCGUGACUGCAUCCGAUACUGUCAGGCUAGAGGUAGGUAGGGGAGAUCGGAAUUCCUGGUGUAGCGGUGAAAUACGCAGAUAUCAGGAGGAACACCGAUGGCGAAGGCAGGUCUCUGGGCAUUAACUGACGCUGAGGAGCGAAGCAUGGGAGCGAACAGGA